UUAUAAGAGACAGCAGUAGCCGCGGGAAUACGGAGGGUGCAAGCGUUAAUCGGAAUUACUGGGCGUAAAGCGCACGCAGGCGGUCUGACAAGUCAGAUGUGAAAUCCCCGGGCUUAACCUGGGAACUGCAUUUGAAACUGUCAGGCUGGAGUCUUGUAGAGGGGGGUGGAAUUCCAGGUGUAGCGGUGAAAUGCGUAGAGAUCUGGAGGAAUACCGGUGGCGAAGGCGGCCCCCUGGACAAAGACUGACGCUCAGGUGCGAAAGCGUGGGGAGCAAACAGGAUUAGAUACCCCUGUAGUCCCUGUCUCUUAUAA
rnacentral:rRNA from 1 species